rnacentral:rRNA from 1 species
GAUGAACGCUGGCGGCGUGCUUAACACAUGCAAGUCGAACGGAAAGGCUCCUGCUUGCAGGGGUACUCGAGUGGCGAACGGGUGAGUAACACGUGGGUGAUCUGCCCUGCACUUCGGGAUAAGCCUGGGAAACUGGGUCUAGUACCGGAUAGGACGAUGGUUUGGAUGCCAUUGUGGAAAGUUUUUUCGGUGUGGGAUGAGCUCGCGGCCUAUCAGCUUGUUGGUGGGGUAAUGGCCUACCAAGGCGUCGACGGGUAGCCGGCCUGAGAGGGUGUACGGCCACAUUGGGACUGAGAUACGGCCCAGACUCCUACGGGAGGCAGCAGUGGGGAAUAUUGCACAAUGGGCGCAAGCCUGAUGCAGCGACGCCGCGUGGGGGAUGACGGCCUUCGGGUUGUAAACUCCUUUCGCUAGGGACGAAGCGCAAGUGACGGUACCUGGAGAAGAAGCACCGGCUAACUACGUG